UACGGAGGGUGCAAGCGUUGUUCGGAUUUAUUGGGCGUAAAGCGCGUGUAGGCGGUUUCUUAAGUCUGAUGUGAAAGCCCUGGGCUCAACCCAGGAAGUGCAUUGGAUACUGGGAGACUUGAAUACGGGAGAGGGUAGUGGAAUUCCUAGUGUAGGAGUGAAAUCCGUAGAUAUUAGGAGGAACACCGGUGGCGAAGGCGGCUACCUGGACCGAUAUUGACGCUGGGACGCGAAAGCGUGGGGAGCAAACAGG
rnacentral:rRNA from 1 species